UACGUAGGGACCGAGCGUUGUCCGGAUUCAUUGGGCGUAAAGAGCUCGUAGGCGGCUGCUCAAGUCGAAUGUGAAACCUCGAGGCUUAACCUCGAGCCUGCAUUCGAUACUGGGCGGCUAGAGUCUGGUAGGGGGAUCUGGAAUUCCUGGUGUAGCGGUGAAAUGCGCAGAUAUCAGGAAGAACACCCGUGGCGAAGGCGGCUCUCUGGGACGGUACUGACGCUGAGACGCGAAAGCGUGGGGAGCGAACAGG
rnacentral:rRNA from 1 species